rnacentral:rRNA from 1 species
AGAGUUUGAUACCUGGCUCAGAUUGAACGCUGGCGGAAUGCUUUACACAUGCAAGUCGAACGGCAGCACGGACUUCGGUCUGGUGGCGAGUGGCGAACGGGUGAGUAACAUAUCGGAACGUAUCCAAUAAUGGGGGAUAACUAAUCGAAAGGUUGGCUAAUACCGCAUACGCCCUACGGGGGAAAGCUAGGGAUCUUCGGACCUGGCGUUAAUGGAGCGGCCGAUAUCUGAUUAGCUAGUUGGUGGGGUAAAGGCCCACCAAGGCGACGAUCAGUAGCUGGUCUGAGAGGACGACCAGCCACACUGGAACUGAGACACGGUCCAGACUCCUACGGGAGGCAGCAGUGGGGAAUUUUGGACAAUGGGCGCAAGCCUGAUCCAGCCAUUCCGCGUGAGUGAAGAAGGCCUUCGGGUUGUAAAGCUCUUUCGCAAGGGAAGAAAACUUAUCCUCUAACAUAGGAUGAGGUUGACGGUACCUUGAUAAGAAGCACCGGCUAACUACGUGCCAGCAGCCGCGGUAAUACGUAGGGUGCGAGCGUUAAUCGGAAUUACUGGGCGUAAAGCGUGCGCAGGCUGUUUUGUAAGUCAGAUGUGAAAUCCCUGAGCUCAACUUAGGAACUGCGUUUGAAACUACAAGACUAGAAUAUGUCAGAGGGGGGUAGAAUUCCACGUGUAGCAGUGAAAUGCGUAGAGAUGUGGAGGAAUACCAAUGGCGAAGGCAGCCCCCUGGGAUAAUAUUGACGCUCAUGCACGAAAGCGUGGGGAGCAAACAGGAUUAGAUACCCUGGUAGUCCACGCCCUAAACGAUGUCUACUAGUUGUUGGUGGAGUAAAAUCCAUGAGCAACGCAGCUAACGCGUGAAGUAGACCGCCUGGGGAGUACGGUCGCAAGAUUAAAACUCAAAUGAAUUGANGGGGGCNCGC